rnacentral:rRNA from 1 species
UAGGGAAUAUUGGACAAUGGGGGCAACCCUGAUCCAGCCAUGCCGCGUGAGUGAAGAAGGCCCUCGGGUUGUAAAGCUCUUUUGUCCGGAAAGAAAAGCUUCGGGUUAAUACCCCGGGGUUCUGACGGUACCGGAAGAAUAAGCACCGGCUAACUUCGUGCCAGCAGCCGCGGUAAUACGAAGGGUGCAAGCGUUACUCGGAAUUACUGGGCGUAAAGCGUGCGUAGGUGGUUGUUUAAGUCUGAUGUGAAAGCCCUGGGCUCAACCUGGGAAGGGCAUUGGAAACUGGGCAGCUAGAGUGCGGUAGAGGGUAGUGGAAUUCCGGGUGUUGCAGUGAAAUGCGUAGAGAUCGGGAGGAACAUCUGUGGCGAAGGCGACUGCCUGGACCAGCACUGACACUGAGGCACGAAAGCGUGGGGAGCAAACA